rnacentral:lncRNA from 1 species
AAUCAUACUUCAAUAUUUAAAGUUUUAAAAUGACUGACAAGCUUUUGGAAAACCUUAUGAUAACCUUCCCAGUGUGUGUGUUCAGAGGGCAAAAGUUUGGUGUUCUUUUUCUCUGGAUUCUGGCACAUCUUGCUUUUUUUCUGUGAGUGAGAGAAAAAGUGAACAAGGAAGUCCUAUGGUAUAAAAGUAAAUCUAGUAAAGCUUAUGUAAAUAUGUAAGUAUUAUAUGCGUAUGCUUUCCUAUGUAGUAGACUUUAACAUGAUGACAUUUGGAUAGUCUUAUGCAGGUUUUGCUUUUUGAAAUUCAAACCUGUCAUUACAGAUCUUAGCUUGUGUUUUCUUUUUGUUUAAUCUUGACUGAAUUACGUGGUGCAGUCCUCUACUCUCUAACAAGCCCACCUGUAUCUUCAUUAGCUACUAAUACUGUAUCUGCAGUAGCAUCAUCUUUGGUUGUUUUGAUGACUAAUUAACAAUUAAGUCAGUGUUUGAGGAAACUGUUAAAAAUUAUUUUUUUUUAGUUUUACUUCACUGAAGGUUUGUGACACGUAGCAUGAAUGCAUAUGCAAUACUGACUCAACCACUACAUGGAUGUAAGUCAUGAGCAUGAAAAAGCAGCAUAAACUAAGUGAAAAUCAAAACGCAGCCAUCUUCAUAAUAUGCCUAGUGGUUUCUGUUUUGUAACUGAGCACUGCAGAUGUUUAUCACCUUACUGUUACAGGCUCCAUGCUCCAUUAUUUUUGGACCUCUGUGAAAGUCUUACUGGAGGGGAAGAAUUUUGGCUUUCAUCCAAGGCAACAUGGCUGGACUGUAUGGAAUAACAGUGUUUCAUGCUCUUCAGGCUAUGAACAAUGUGCUAAUAAUUCUCAGAGGAGUACGGAUAGCGAUCCUAGAGCCAGAAAAGCCAACUUCAGGAAAAGCAAAGUACAUGGUAAGUUAAUUUCUUUCCAUUCUUUUGUAUGGUAACUUGUAGCAGAAUGAAGAUCUCAGAAAAUAAUUGUGUCCAAGUGGAGAGCUAUGACCUGCAUCUCCAGGUCUGUGUACAUGACAGUGAUAUAUUUGGAACACAUGUGCAGCAUUGUCACCAUGAACCAUUGUCACCAUUGUUAUACUUGGUUAGUGUUGUGUCAUAUGUGUUCUGGGAUCUUGUGAUCUCGUCUUGUGAGAAACUUACUGUAAGGCAGUAGAAUUUUAGGGUCUGGGAUGGAACCUUUUAAACAUCUGCAACUUACCUCUCGUAGAAUCACUCUAGAAAUCUGGACGUGCGCAUGUGGAAGCAGGAGUCUUACCCCAAUAAAACUGGGAUGCGUAACCUUAGCCCCA